rnacentral:rRNA from 1 species
CAUGCAGUCGAGCGGCAGCACAGAGAAACUUGUUUCUCGGGUGGCGAGCGGCGGACGGGUGAGUAAUGCCUGGGAAAUUGCCCUGAUGUGGGGGAUAACCAUUGGAAACGAUGGCUAAUACCGCAUGAUAGCUUCGGCUCAAAGAGGGGGACCUUCGGGCCUCUCGCGUCAGGAUAUGCCUAGGUGGGAUUAGCUAGUUGGUGAGGUAAGGGCUCACCAAGGCGACGAUCCCUAGCUGGUCUGAGAGGAUGAUCAGCCACACUGGAACUGAGACACGGUCCAGACUCCUACGGGAGGCAGCAGUGGGGAAUAUUGCACAAUGGGCGCAAGCCUGAUGCAGCCAUGCCGCGUGUGUGAAGAAGGCCUUCGGGUUGUAAAGCACUUUCAGUAGGGAGGAAGGUGGUAGUGUUAAUAGCGCUAUCAUUUGACGUUACCUACAGAAGAAGCACCGGCUAACUCCGUGCCAGCAGCCGCGGUAAUACGGAGGGUGCGAGCGUUAAUCGGAAUUACUGGGCGUAAAGCGCAUGCAGGUGGUUUGUUAAGUCAGAUGUGAAAGCCCCGGGCUCAACCUGGGAAUUGCAUUUGAAACUGGCAAACUAGAGUACUGUAGAGGGGGUAGAAUUUCAGUGUAGCGGUGAAAUGCGUAGAGAUCUGAAGGAAUACCGGUGGCGAAGGCGGCCCCUGGAACGAAUACUGACACUCAGAUGCGAAGCGUGGGGGAGCAA